UUGAUCCUACGGGGGGCAGCAGUAGGGAAUCUUCCACAAUGGGCGCAAGCCUGAUGGAGCAACACCGCGUGAGUGAAGAAGGGUUUCGGCUCGUAAAGCUCUGUUGUUGGGGGAGAACGAGAGUGGGAGUAACUGUUCACGCUUUGACGGUAUCCAACCAGAAAGUCACGGCUAACUACGUGCCAGCAGCCGCGGUAAUACGUAGGUGGCAAGCGUUAUCCGGAUUUAUUGGGCGUAAAGC
rnacentral:rRNA from 1 species